UACGUAGGGGGCUAGCGUUGUCCGGAAUCAUUGGGCGUAAAGCGCGUGUAGGCGGCCCGGUAAGUCCGCUGUGAAAGUCGGGGGCUCAACCCUCGGAUGCCGGUGGAUACUGUCGGGCUCGAGUACGGAAGAGGCGAGUGGAAUUCCUGGUGUAGCGGUGAAAUGCGCAGAUAUCAGGAGGAACACCAAUUGCGAAGGCAGCGCGCUGGGACGUUACUGACGCUGAGACGCGAAAGCGUGGGGAGCAAACAGG
rnacentral:rRNA from 1 species